GCGCCCGUAGCUCAGUGGAUUAGAGCACGUGACUACGGAUCACGCGGUCGGGAGUUCGAAUCUCUCCGGGCGCGCCA
rnacentral:tRNA from 1 species